AGUCGCGAUAACUAAUGCACUUGGAGAACAUGCUCUCAAUUAGCGUCAUGCCACGUCUCUCCAUAAAUAUGCUACGUGCUCGUUCAGUUACUCUCACAAAUAAAUUUCCAUAGUUACUUGUAAGGACCAUUAAUAUUGAUGAAAAGCGUGACAUCUUCUACAUGCAGCUUUAAUGAAUUCUGCCCUGGGGGUUUUGAAGAAGCGGCCUGUUCUGUGCCUCAUGUUUACUUAUUUACAUAGUUUUUCCAAGCGACUUUCCUUUCUGAUGAAAUUGGUUAUGAGAAGGAGCUCAAGAAAAUGCACAAGUAUGAAGGAGAAUUCUAUUUCAUUUUUCAGCCUGCUUCACUGUGCAUUGUUUUAAUCCCAACCUUUGCAUUGUAAAGCGAUGGCUAUUAACCCUACAUUGCCUUUACCAGUGGCAUUGGAGGAAUUUUGCGUUUUCAGAACUCAACACAGAAGGGGCCACAAUUUCAGUCACUUUGGGGUGCCAUAGGUGUUGUGUUGUGUUGGUGCUGCUAAAUGUGGGAACAGUGGAAGGGCAUUGCUGGCACAGCGCACCUGAGUACAGGUUACUACAAAAAACAAAGUUUAGGUAUCUUACCUUGUGAAGAUAAUUGGUCCAGCUGCUGUAUUGAAUUGCUCACAUUGUGGGAUGAAGGAAGAAGUAUUUUCUUGGUUCAUUCACCGUCUGAAGAAAAUUUUUCCAGGUACUUUUAUUUAAAAGUAAAUUGGCCCAGCUAUUGCCUUGGAUUGGAUUGCAUUCAUCUUGAUAUUUGUUAAGUUAAUUGCUGUAUUAUAGAAUAUGUGUGCUUACGUACACUUGACCAUUGGAUUGAAUGGCCCUGUGUUUCAUGAUGCUUGCAGCUGCAUUCUCUAUCUUCAGUUCUGGCAUUGUUGUUAGUAAAACUUGAAUUCUGCUUUAAUCUCGAAAGAUUUGCAAUAAAACAAAUUUCAAAGAACGUCGCAGUUUUUAGAAGUAUCUCAUGGCACAACAUUUUCUUUGUUUCUUGCUUUUGCAACAUGGCAUGGGAAUUAAUUCUGCAUUUCCUACAGGUAAUUUUAAAGCAUGAUCUUUAUGAAUGUCUUUGAAGAAGGCUCUAGUGAACACGUAAUGAUGCAUGUAAGGUUAAUGUUUCUUCUCUUCUAUAACAUUAAAUCUUAAACUUUUUCAA